AGGGUAACUGCGGAGGAUCAUUAAUGAAUGAAUUGAGUGGGGUUGUAGCUGGCCUUUCACCGGGCAUGUGCACACCUCAUUCGACCACCUUCUACACCCCUGUGCACUUCUCAUGAGUUGGGCCGCGUCUGAAACACGACAAAGUCCGGCUCGUGUGUUUUAUACAAACGAAUCAUGUUACAGAAUGUCACUACCAUGCUUUGAAGCAUAUAAUACAACUUUCAACAACGGAUCUCUUGGCUCUCGCAUCGAUGAAGAACGCAGCGAAAUGCGAUAAGUAAUGUGAAUUGCAGAAUUCAGUGAAUCAUCGAAUCUUUGAACGCACCUUGCGCUCCUUGGUAUUCCGAGGAGCAUGCUUGUUUGAGUGUCAUGGUCUUCUCAACCCUUCCGUCUUUUUCACCGGAGACUGUCGGGCUUGGAUGUGGAGGUCUUGCAGGCAUCUGGAUCUUUUGAUUCAGAAGUCGGCUCCUCUGAAAUGCAUUAGCUUGAAUAGUACCAAGCAUGAUUCAGCGUGAUAAUUGUCUACGUUGCUUCGUCUCGGUGAAUUAAAUGUUCAAGCUUCUAACCGUCCCUCGGGACAAUCUCUGAACAUCUGACCUCAAAUCAAGUAGGACUACCCGCUGAACUUAAGCAUAUCAAAAAGCGGGAAGAAAAU
rnacentral:rRNA from 1 species